AUGCACGCUAGCUACAGGCUUAACACAUGCAAGUCGCGGGGCAGCAUGGGGGUUGCUUGCAACCCCUGAUGGCGACCGGCGCACGGGUGAGUAACGCGUAUCCAACCUGCCCUUCACCACGGGAUAACCCGGCGAAAGUCGGACUAAUACCGUAUGUUGUCCAUUGACGGCAUCCGAUUUGGACGAAAGGCUUGGCGGUGAAGGAUGGGGAUGCGUCCGAUUAGCUUGACGGCGGGGUAACGGCCCACCGUGGCUACGAUCGGUAGGGGUUCUGAGAGGAAGGUCCCCCACACUGGAACUGAGACACGGUCCAGACUCCUACGGGAGGCAGCAGUGAGGAAUAUUGGUCAAUGGGCGUAAGCCUGAACCAGCCAAGUAGCGUGCAGGAGGACGGCCCUAUGGGUUGUAAACUGCUUUUAUGCGGGGAUAAAGUGGCCCACGGGUGGGCUUUUGCAGGUACCGCAUGAAUAAGGACCGGCUAAUUCCGUG
rnacentral:rRNA from 1 species